rnacentral:rRNA from 1 species
GACGUAGGGGGCCAGCGUUGUUCGGAAUUACUGGGUGUAAAGGGUUCGUAGGCGGUGCGGUAAGUUGGGGGUGAAAUCUCUGGGCUUAACCCAGAGGCUGCUUUCGAAACUGCUGUGCUUGAGUGUGGGAGAGGCGCGUGGAAUUGCAGGUGUAGCGGUGAAAUGCGCAGAUAUCGGGAGGAACACCAAUGGCGAAGGCAGCUCGCUGGGACGGUACUGACGCUGAGGCGCGAAAGCGUGGGGAGCAAACAGG